rnacentral:rRNA from 1 species
UGCGCAGUAUAAGGGCUUAUUUAGUAUUAUGGUAGUUGGUUAUGUUAAAAGCUAACCAAGCCUUAGAUGCUUAGCAGGCUUUAACGAGUGAUCUGCCACAACGGGCUUGAAAUAGUGCCUGAACAUUUAUGGCAGCAGUAAAGAAUCUUGGGCAAUGCAUUCAAGUGUGACCCAGCAAGUCUCCGUGGAUGAUGAAGAUAUUAAAUUAUAUUGUAAAAUUCUAUCUUUUUAUAUUUAUAAUGAAUUAUAAAAAGGAAAGCACAGGCUAAAUUCGUGCCAGCAGCCGCGGUAAUACGGAUUGUGCAAGUCUUUGACCUCGUGACUAGGUGUAAAAGGCCACAUAGGAGGUUAUAAAAGUUAUUGAGUAAAUACAGGGUAUAAACCUUGGAAUCUUAAUAAAACUUUAUAACUAGAAUAUAAUAGGG